rnacentral:misc_RNA from 1 species
UACGAAGGGGGCUAGCGUUGUUCGGAAUCACUGGGCGUAAAGCGGGCUCAGGUGGCCUAUCAAGUCAGGGGUGAAAUCCCAGAGCUCAACUCUGGAAUUGCCUCUGAAACUGGUAGGCUUGAGUCUUGGAGGGGAUAGCGGAAUUUCUAAUGUAGCGGUGAAAUGCGUAGAUAUUAGAAGGAACACCGGUGGCGAAGGCGGCUAUCUGGACAAGUACUGACACUGAGGCCCGAAAGCGUGGGGAGCAAACAGG